UUCACUGCCUGCUCCACUGAACCAUUGGGGAAACAGGAAGUUGUGUUGUCUUCGGGAGGAUGGACCACAUGAAUCCGGCGGCCGCUGACACCGAGACACAUGAGCGUCUCCGUGCAGGUCUCGCUCAAAGCCCUGUCCAUGGUGCUGAAGCACAGCCAGCGCCGCACGACAUGGAUGUUUUCAACCGCAACAGGAUUUCUGCCAAAACUAUUAUCAGGCCGGUGCAGAGGAUCAGAUAGUCAUACUUCACUUUACCGUCCUCCAUCAGCUCCACGUGUUUGGCCUCGCGGUCAAUGGCCUUCAUCUUACCCUUCACCACGCUGAUCCAGGAGCGCAGAGAGAGCCGG